GAGAAGAGUCUGGGGACACAGAAACUGCUAAUUGUCUGACCCGUGGUUAAACU
rnacentral:tRNA from 1 species